GGGGCUGCCUGGUAUUGACGGGAAAGUGUAGUCGCUUCGCAAGCAUGCCGGAGCAUGGUUGGUUACUCCGUAAAAAAUAACGACCGAACUAUAGUUGGCAACACUCAGUAUGCCAUGGCUGCCUAAUUCCAGAGAAUUAGAAAGCCUUUGCGCCGCGUUCCCGCCAAGGCGGGAUGAGCCUUGAUGCCUGCUACACAGGUCGCCGCGCAUCAUCAAAAAAGCAGGAUUGCCCGACGGGAUGCUCCGACUGAAGGGUGAAAUUAAGGAGAUAAGGUGCGGCCGGUCUGUUUCCGGACCACCCCGCACUCGAAAAUUCAAGCGGAAACUAAGCAUGUAGAAGGCGCUGCGGCGCUUUGUCCGGACGCGGGUUCGACUCCCGCCAGCUCCACAA
rnacentral:tmRNA from 1 species